rnacentral:lncRNA from 1 species
AGCCUUUUUCAAAAUGUGGCGGUGGCAGGGAAGGUUGUCUGCUCCAGAGGCUUCCCUAGAGUGAAGAGCUCUACUAUGUAUGCUUUAUGCGGCAGAAGGAGUGCUUUGGAGGAGUUUUUAAAUUUGUUUUUUUUUUAAAUCUUAUCGGUUUUAAUUGUAGCAAUGAUUCAAGAAACGUUAGUAGGUGCCCAUAACUUCGGUGGUGGAGAUCCAAAAGUGAACAAGACAGUGUUCUGGCUGCUAAAUUCUUCUUAACUGGUUAUGCCUGGAGACCUUCACUUGGUUCUGUGCCAGCACUGCCCAUGAACUUCAUAGACUGUGAUCUUUGCUAAGGCCUAAAUGAAUGAAGGUGCAGGACCGGAAGCAGAAGACAGAAAGUGGAGACCAGAUGUUUGAAGCUGGGUAAAGGCAGGGAUGGAGCAGGAACCGAGGAACAAACCUUGGAACUAGGUAAGUUUCCUGAGGCCUUCCCAGAAGUAGAAGCCUGCACAGUCCACAGAACUGUGAGUCAAUUAAACCUUUUUUCUUUAUAAAUUACCCAGUCUUAGGUAGUUCUUUAUAACAGUA